AACGAACGCUGGCGGCAUGCCUAACACAUGCAAGUUGAACGAGACCUUCGAGUCUAGUGGCGCACGGGUGCGUAACGCGUGGGAACCUGCCCUUAGGUUCGGAAUAACUCCCCGAAAGGGGUGCUAAUACCGGAUAAUGUCUUCGGACCAAAGAUUUAUCGCCUUUGGAUGGGCCCGCGUUGGAUUAGCUAGUUGGUAGGGUAAAAGCCUACCAAGGCGACGAUCCAUAGCUGGUCUGAGAGGAUGAUCAGCCACACUGGGACUGAGACACGGCCCAGACUCCUACGGGAGGCAGCAGUGGGGAAUAUUGGACAAUGGGCGAAAGCCUGAUCCAGCAAUGCCGCGUGAGUGAUGAAGGCCUUAGGGUUGUAAAGCUCUUUUACCCGGGAUGAUAAUGACAGUACCGGGAGAAUAAGCUCCGGCUAACUCCGUG
rnacentral:rRNA from 1 species